rnacentral:rRNA from 1 species
AUUUCUAGAGAUAGAAAGUUACUUCGGUACAUCGGUGACAGGUGGUGCAUGGUUGUCGUCAGCUCGUGUCGUGAGAUGUUGGGUUAAGUCCCGCAACGAGCGCGAACCCUUUGCCAUUAGUUGCUACGAAAGGGCACUCUAAUGGGACUGCCGGUGACAAACCGGAGGAAGGUGGGGAUGACGUCAAGUCCUCAUGGCCCUUAUAGGUGGGGCUACACACGUCAUACAAUGGCCGGUACAGAGGGUAGCCAACCCGCGAGGGGGAGCCAAUCCCACAAAGCCGGUCGUAGUCCGGAUCGCAGUCUGCAACUCGACUGCGUGAAGUCGGAAUCGCUAGUAAUCGCGGAUCAGCAUGUCGCGGUGAAUACGUUCCCGGGUCUU